AUGGCGGCCGCCAAGGACACUCGUGAGGACCAUGAUACUUCCACUGAGAAUACAGACGAGUACAACCAUGACUCUCAGUUUGUCUUCCUGAGCAAGAAAUUAAAACGCUGAAAGAUGAUGAAGAGGAACUUUUUAAAAUGCAGGCAAAACUGUUCUGAUUUGCCUCAGAGAACGAUCUCCCAGAAUGGAAGGAGCGAGGCACUGGUGACGUCAAGCUCCUGAAGCACAAGGAGAAAGGGGCCAUCCGCCUCCUCAUGCAGAGGGACAAGACCCUGAAUAUCUGUGCCAACCACUACAUCAUGCGGAUGAUGGAGCUGAAGCCCAAGCAGGUAGUGACCGUGCCUGGGUCUGGAACACCCAUGCUGACUUCGCCGACCAGUACCCAAGCCGGAGCUGCUGGCCAUCUGCUUCCUGAAUGCUGAGAAUGCACAGAAAUUCAAAACAAAGUUUGAAGAAUGCAGAAAAGAGAUCGAAGAGAGAGAAAAGAAAGCAGGAUCAGGCAAAAACGAUCAUGCCAAAAAAGUGGCAAAAAAGCUAGAAGCUCUCUCGGUGAAGGAGGAGACCAAGGAGGAUGCUGAGGAGAAGCAAUAA
rnacentral:lncRNA from 1 species